CUACGGGGGGCAGCAGUGGGGAAUAUUGCACAAUGGAGGAAACUCUGAUGCAGCAACGCCGCGUGGAGGAUGACACUUUUCGGAGCGUAAACUCCUUUUAUAUAGGAAGAAGAUGACGGUACUAUAUGAAUAAGCGCCGGCUAACUCCGUGCCAGCAGCCGCGGUAAUACGGAGGGCGCAAGCGUUACUCGGAAUCACUGGGCGUAAAGAGCGUGUAGGCGGAUUAAAAAGUCAGAAGUGAAAUCCUAUAGCUUAACUAUAGAACUGCUUCUGAAACUCUUAAUCUAGAAUAUGGGAGAGGUAGAUGGAAUUUCUGGUGUAGGGGUAAAAUCCGUAGAGAUCAGAAGGAAUACCGACUGCGAAGGCGAUCUACUAGAACAUUAUUGACGCUGAGACGCGAAAGCGUGGGGAGCAAACAGGAUUAGAUACCCGAGUAGUC
rnacentral:rRNA from 1 species